CAGGAAAAAAUUCUCCAUAGCCCCGCAAAGCAAGCCCAGAAACCCAGCUGUGACAACUGCAAACAAAGGCAUCCAACAGUCUUAUAGAACAUGGGUCUGAGUUAUCGAUACUACUGGUCAGUGGGGAAAUAAUUAACUUUUUCACUGCACCUGAACUUACAGUGUAAAGCCAGUGAAGAACUCUCACAGGUACCAUAUCUUGGCCUCCGUUUCAUUGAGUCAAACAAAAAUAUCAAACAUCUUUCAGAAGAAGGAGCUAGCUCUUCCCCUUCUCCCCCGACCUCUCUGUUCUAGCUCUUCACUUAUGGGGGUUGGGUCUUGCUCCUGAUUCCAGAUUUGAUCCAGAAGACACGGAAACUCCAAAACAUAGCAGAUAGACUUUGCACAGGGAAACGUACAACUUGUGUAGGGGGAAGCUGCACAUUAUUAUACUAUUCACCAUAAGGGGAAAAUGUGUGCACACCCGGGGCAUGGCCAGUGGAUUCAUACACACAGUGCAGAUGCAAUCUACUAGUCCUUUCUUUUCCCAGUGGUGGCACCUUCUCAUCUAAACGUCCAUCAGCCCCUGCAUACUUUCCUGGACAAAAACCUUUUGCUCAAACUUUGCUCACAGGACCAGGAUUUGUUCCUUAAUGAACUCUAAGGAUACUGAUGAAGAUGAAUGGCAGCAGAUGAAUGUCCUCUGGUUUACAAAUCAGUUGAGAUGUUCAGAGGAUAACUUAGAAUUACGAACGUUUUGCACAACUCUGACAAAACCUGAGACCGUACAAAGCUUACCUAGUUUCAGGCUUUCCUAUAAACUCAGUUAUCUGAAGCCAGGUUCACAGAAAGUUUUGCUAAAAUGCAAAACUCUCCCAAGCAAAUCUGGGCCAGUAUAGGGCUAUGCAAUGAAACUUCACUAUGUAUGAGUUUGAAAUGAAAACAGGUGAAAAUUUGUUCAUUUCCAUUAAGACUAUGAGUUCAUUCAAAAUCCAGACUCAGUGAGUAUCUCAAAAGAUACAAGCCCAUGUCAUUAAACACAACAACCAGAAAAAUGUUUGCAUAAAUCCCUAUAAAGUGAAAUCCAGAAGUUUCAUGAAAUUUUAAUUAAACAGCUGAAGCCAUUUGCAGUAACAUCAGGCCACCAAGAUUAAUUUAGACCAUAAUGAACCAUCCAUUGCCAUUAAUUACUUAAUCUUUUAAUACACAUAGAUAUUAAAACUGCAUUCUAAAAUUAUUUCAAUAAAAAUAUUAGAGAUGGGUUUGAACUCAACCCCUGAAUCAGAACAUCCCUUAUCCUUGGGAGUAUUUGAAAUCUGAACUGUUAUCUGGAUCCACAAUUUGUAAAUAGCUCCUAUCUUGAGACCUGAUCCUGAAUGUUGCUGAGUACGUGCAAAUGCCAUUGACGUGACCUCUCCUCUUCAGGCCCUUUGUGAUGAGCUGAGUCAAGAACCCUGAUCUCGCAAUGUACAAAUUCUAGUAUAUUAAAAAUCCAUAUCUAGAUCUGAGUUUUGUAGCUUGAGACCAUCUCUAGAAAAAAUAUCACAGCUGGCUGUUCUGACUAAACAAUUAUGAUUUGAGAGACAGUGGGCCAGAUUCUGCUCUCCGUUACACUAAUAAGCAUGUAUCCAAAGUAACUUAAUUGAAACCAAUGGAAUUACUCCAGAUUUAUACCAGGAUACAAGAAUCUUGCCUUCUAGCUAUUAUGUAACUCAAUGAAAUUUGAAAUUUUCAGCUAAAAUCUGCUCUCAGGUAUAUCCAUGUGGCCCACUGACAUUGAUGGAGUUGUCAGGGUGUAACUGUGAACAGAAAUUGGCCUGCAGUUUGUAUUGGAGCUACUAUACAAAACACAGUAGCAUUCUACUGCAUUUUACACAUAGACUUUGGAUGAAACAAGCUUAGAUUAACUAGAUCUGGCUCUAUAAACUGACUCAAGGAAUGAGGACCAAAUCCAUGUCCCUUUUAA